CGGCGCUUGAGGCUUCUGCUUCAGGUCGUCGGCAGCAGUGCUGAUGUGCGUGAGGCAGAUGCAGAAAAGCCCCGAAGUUAAUUCUCAUUAACCCCGAGGCCCCUGUAUGACACGCAACAUCAGGGUAUCCUCUUACCUGCCGCAAGGCAAGGAGAAGAAGGUCAUG
rnacentral:antisense_RNA from 1 species